CACUGGUGUUCGGGUUGUCAUGCCAAUGGCACUGCACGGUAGCUAAAUGCGGAAGAGAUAAGUGCUGAAAGCAUCUAAGCACGAAACUUGCCCCGAGAUGAGUUCUCCCUGACUCCUUGAGAGUCCUGAAGGAACGUUGAAGACGACGACGUUGAUAGGCCGGGUGUGUAAGCGCAGCGAUGCGUUGAGCUAACCGGUACUAAUGAACCGUGAGGCUUAACCUUACAACGCCGAAGCUGUU
rnacentral:rRNA from 1 species